GACGAACGCUGGCGGCGUGCCUAAUACAUGCAAGUAGAACGCUGAAGAGAGGAGCUUGCUCUUCUUGGAUGAGUUGCGAACGGGUGAGUAACGCGUAGGUAACCUGCCUUGUAGCGGGGGAUAACUAUUGGAAACGAUAGCUAAUACCGCAUAACAAUGGAUGACACAUGUCAUUUAUUUGAAAGGGGCAAUUGCUCCACUACAAGAUGGACCUGCGUUGUAUUAGCUAGUAGGUGAGGUAACGGCUCACCUAGGCGACGAUACAUAGCCGACCUGAGAGGGUGAUCGGCCACACUGGGACUGAGACACGGCCCAGACUCCUACGGGAGGCAGCAGUAGGGAAUCUUCGGCAAUGGGGGCAACCCUGACCGAGCAACGCCGCGUGAGUGAAGAAGGUUUUCGGAUCGUAAAGCUCUGUUGUAAGUCAAGAACGAGUGUGAGAGUGGAAAGUUCACACUGUGACGGUAGCUUACCAGAAAGGGACGGCUAACUACGUGCCAGCAGCCGCGGUAAUACGUAGGUCCCGAGCGUUGUCCGGAUUUAUUGGGCGUAAAGCGAGCGCAGGCGGUUUGAUAAGUCUGAAGUUAAAGGCUGUGGCUCAACCAUAGUUCGCUUUGGAAACUGUCAAACUUGAGUGCAGAAGGGGAGAGUGGAAUUCCAUGUGUAGCGGUGAAAUGCGUAGAUAUAUGGAGGAACACCGGUGGCGAAAGCGGCUCUCUGGUCUGUAACUGACGCUGAGGCUCGAAAGCGUGGGGAGCGAACAGGAUUAGAUACCCUGGUAGUCCACGCCGUAAACGAUGAGUGCUAGGUGUUGGAUCCUUUCCGGGAUUCAGUGCCGCAGCUAACGCAUUAAGCACUCCGCCUGGGGAGUACGACCGCAAGGUUGAAACUCAAAGGAAUUGACGGGGGCCCGCACAAGCGGUGGAGCAUGUGGUUUAAUUCGAAGCAACGCGAAGAACCUUACCAGGUCUUGACAUCCCGAUGCUAUUUCUAGAGAUAGAAAGUUACUUCGGUACAUCGGUGACAGGUGGUGCAUGGUUGUCGUCAGCUCGUGUCGUGAGAUGUUGGGUUAAGUCCCGCAACGAGCGCAACCCCUAUUGUUAGUUGCCAUCAUUCAGUUGGGCACUCUAGCGAGACUGCCGGUAAUAAACCGGAGGAAGGUGGGGAUGACGUCAAAUCAUCAUGCCCCUUAUGACCUGGGCUACACACGUGCUACAAUGGUUGGUACAACGAGUUGCGAGUCGGUGACGGCAAGCUAAUCUCUUAAAGCCAAUCUCAGUUCGGAUUGUAGGCUGCAACUCGCCUACAUGAAGUCGGAAUCGCUAGUAAUCGCGGAUCAGCGCGCCGCGGUGAAUACGUUCCCGGGCCU
rnacentral:rRNA from 1 species